UACAGAGGGUGCAAGCGUUAAUCGGAAUUACUGGGCGUAAAGCGUGCGUAGACGGUUAUUUAAGUCAGGUGUGAAAGCCCCGGGCUCAACCUGGGAAUUGCAUUUGAGACUGAAUAGCUAGGGUGCGGAAGAGGGAAGCGGAAUUUCCGGUGUAGCGGUGAAAUGCGUAGAUAUCAGGAAGAACACCCGUGGCGAAGGCGGCUCUCUGGGACGGUACUGACGCUGAGACGCGAAAGCGUGGGGAGCGAACAGG
rnacentral:rRNA from 1 species